CCUACGGGAGGCAGCAGUAGGGAAUAUUGCUCAAUGGGGGAAACCCUGAUGCAGCACCGCCGCGUGGGUGAUGAAGUUUUUCGGAUUGUAAACUCCUUUUGGUAGAGAAGAUAAUGACGGUAUCUUACGAAUAAGCACCGGCUAACUCCGUGCCAGCAGCCGCGGUAAUACGGAGGGUGCAAGCGUUACUCGGAUUCACUGGGCGUAAAGAGCGCGUAGGCGGGAUAGCAAGUCAGAUGUGAAAUCCGAUGGCUUAACCAUGGAACUGCAUUUGAAACUGUUAUUCUAGAGUAUGGGAGAGGUAGGUGGAAUUCUUGGUGUAGGGGUAAAAUCCGUAGAGAUCAAGAGGAAUACUCGUGGCGAAGGCGACCUGCUAGAACAUAACUGACGCUGAGGCGCGAAAGCGUGGGGAGCAAACAGGAUUAGAUACCCCAGUAGUC
rnacentral:rRNA from 1 species